UUUGCUUAAAGAUUUGUUUUUGUAGUCGCGUGUUGUAUUAUUUUUCGGAUAAAGUUGUACUGUUUAUCGAAUGUUCGUUGUAUUAUAAUAGCGUGUUAAUCUGUUUAACAAACAAGCACAAGUGAAGAUAAAUAUUGCCUCUUUUCUAAACAAAAUAUCGUUUGUGUUCAGGGCGUUAUCAUCGUGGGAACUCGUGAACGGGAUGACAGGCUGCGGUCUCUUGCUCGAGGAUUGACAGUAAAUCACUUGUCACCGCUAAGCACGUGCUGUGAAAACUACUAAUGCGCGUUUUCUGGAAAUGUGAAUGACGGGUCUUCAAUUCAUUGCCGAUACGUGACGUAGAAAUUUGUUCUGGACGUGCACGUACAUAUGCGUCUCUUGUAAUGACUUGCAGAUGCUGGCAAAAGAGACGCCAAUGAGAAGGUCGGUUUCGAGCCGGUAAAGACGCACACACGCGCUGGCUUGGCAAAUGGCAGCAUCUUAUGCGCGCAAUUUCUCACAAUUAGCCUAGUUAAACGAGGGGCCUCGCCUGUCAUUCUGUCGGUAAUCAACCGGAAAUCGAUUCGAUACGACGACGACCGCGAUCGCGCGAGAGAAGAAGUAACCAUUCGAAUAGACGAAUUCAUAAUCGAGAAACGAGAGAAUCGCCGGACAGUCGACGACUGUGACUCUGAUUAACGCUUAAUUAUGAGUUAUUAAAGAUUGCGUUGAGCGAGACGAUCGGUACGGGAUGAUGAAUAUGCAUUCCACAUCACAAAGGCGUAGUUAGAGGCAAUAGUUGACCGGCAAACGAUCCCUAAUUGCUGCGUAUAAAUUAUUACCGUGUAAUGAUCUAUCUCGUUGAAAGAAACAUUUCUGACGAAAUGAGGAAAACAAUGCGAACAAACGGUGUGAUUGUACAAUUCACAGGCUUGAAAUCGUCGAUCUUGCAUCGACCAAGUCUCGCUCUUGUGUUUCUUUAGUAAAAGUCGCCGAGAAACUUAAUCUUAAAGUCGCCGAAGAAUCCCUAAAUAAAUUGGAUUGCAAAGUGUUUUAUUUUUGUUGCAAACAACCAUAAGCGGAUUUUCGCAGAAAUCCCGCGUCCAUCGUUUAUUCAUGACCGCCUCCGGGACGAACACACCGGCCACUUUCGAGCGUCGUGUUAAAGAAAAACGAGAAGCAUCGCGAUCCGGAGCUUCGAACCGGAUUUCGGGAUUAGAAUCAGAUACCCUCCCCUUCUCUGAAACGUCGUCGAUGCGUUUUCGUUUUACACGUACGUGAGGCUUUGAGAGGCGACGGAGAUCGCGCCUUCGUGCGCACUCAUCCCGAGUCGGGCGUUUCGAGGAACCGCGACAAUGGGGCCCACAAAGGCGAGCGGGAAAGAGCCUCCCGCUCGUGUCCGUUCCUUCUGCGCCAUGAAAUCACGAUCCAUUCGUCUCGCCUGGAAAUAUAUUACGCCGGCAGGCGACGAACCGCCAAAAAAGAAGAGCGCCCAUCGUAGCUUGUUGCACACGGACGUGACGCGGCGGAACACAAUUACCACGAUCGGCCCCCGUCAACUUUUGUUGUUAUUAUUUCGCGCCACGAAUUGAGAAUUGUAUUCUUUAUGGCGAUAUUUUUGCCAAUUCUCCUCGACACCGUCUGCGCAUCGCAUUGUUAGCAAUAUCUUUGAAUAAUCAAUCUGUUGCUUGCGUGAGGACGUAAGAAGAUCAGUAAUAAAACACUAUUCUGCACAAAAGUUAUAAUUUACGUGAUAAAACAAAUUCUACAAAUCUCAGUAUCUAACAUCAAGGCGUGCCACAUUAAGGUGAUCCAACAAAGUGGAGUUCAAAUUUCUUCAGGACCUCGAAAGUGCCCAACCUAUUCGGCGCCAGCCACGAAGGUCCAACACAGAAGUAUAUUUUAUUCGGAAGAAAAGAGAGAAGAAGAGAAACGAAGGGGGCUUGAAAUAGGGACUUUGAAGAACGGAGCUAAAUCGCUCGUCUGGCAACUAACGUGCCAUGAAGCCUUUCAGGCCCCUGGGUCAGCUUCGUUUUGAAUUUCUCUCUCUCUUUCUCUCUCUUUUUUUUUUCUUCUCUUUUUCUCUCUCGCUUCUCUCUUUUAUGUUCACAAUAUAUAUACAUUCAAGCUUUGUACGUUGCAAUUCCAAGAAUUCAGAUAAACGCAAAUCUGCUUUUUAUAUCGUUAACAUACAUUUAUAAAUUUACUUAGGCGUAUGUUAAUCUGAAAAAAAUUGUUUAAAAAAUCAACUUACGGAUUUUUUUUAGCACAUUGCACGGUGACAAGUUUAACGAAAACAAAACAAAAUACAUCGCGCUGACAAAGAUUAAAUAAUACGUGGCGUUUUAUUGGCAUUGUCGUGCGGGCUGAGCUGACGACUUCCGGCGAUUACCAUUCAAAUCCUCAUCAUUUAGUCAAGAGGCUAAUGUAUUUUUUGUCUGGAAGCACAUCGAAGUGUGUUAACGCGAAUGUCUAACGCACACGUUCGAAUUUCUUUGAGGAUAUUUGAGAAACGUUUUUUUUUUUCAUCUACGCAGUUACGUUUAUCUGACUGUUGCGCGCAAGGAAUAAAAUCCGUUGGUAUGUGCGCACGUCGCGAGAUAUUUUUAUGAAUAGAACCGGACGCCAUUAAUACACUCCGAUCGUUGUAUUCUCUUCUUAAGUGGCAGUGUAACGGUCAAGAUUGGCCGAUGGUUACAUUGGAUAAUCGUAUCUAUUAUAGCGAAGGGUCUACCGCGAAGAGCUACUGAAGUUCUUCUCGAGUUAAGCUCGCGCGCGUCGCCACCGACCGUAAAAAUUCAAAAUGCAAACGCAACAACCAAGUUACGCGUAUAUACGCGCGCGCUUAUUGCGCUUCGCGUUCACUAUUAUUAGCCGUCGGCCAAUCUUGGUGUUUAAUCGUGCGACGCGCGGAAAAGAGAAAGAUAACCACAGGUAUAUAUCUCUUUCAUUAAUUUCCUUUAAGGAUUUCGCGGAGAUUUCUCUCCGUCUGGAUCUUAAUCGACCGUCGUUACCUUCAUCGUUGCCGUUUGGCGCCGGGAUAAUUAAUCGUCUUGUUCACUACCGCUUCGAGUGGUCGGCAAAGGAUACUGCGGUUGGUUUAUCACGAAAAAGAAUUAUAAAGAACGAGCGAGGGAGGAGGAAGGAGGAGAGAGCGGGGAUAGAAGAUGAGACUGCGAGAGAGAUGAGAGUUCGACUGAAUCCCGAUGGAACGUUGUAUAAGAGGCGACUACCUGCUGUACGAUCACAGUCUACUUCUUCUGUAAGAACGGGAUUCGCGCCUACGCGACCAAGUAACCAAGUCGUUCAAAAUCAGUACCUGGAGAAAAAUUUGCUUUUCUUCUCGCAAUUUGCAGAUUACGAAUUGACUUGAUUGACUGCUAUUAUCUUAACAAAAAAUAGUCGACGCGUAUGUGUUGCAAAAGUUUGACACGCGCAAACGCGAAAAAGAUAUAACCGCGAUGUAGCUCUCGGCGCGAUCGAGAAAAUCGAAAAUUGCAAACGCGCGCGUUGCGAAUAGGUAUUCCAAUCUCGCGUAUUUACUCGCAGCUGCAACGAUGGCUUGCAACGAUUCCGAGGCAAUUGAACCGAGACGAAAUGCCGCCUGUACCGAGACCGCAGCGCGGCUAACCGCAGAACCCGAUUAUUUUCGAUAUGGGAUCGAGAAGGGUGCCGCAACCAAAGGAGAGUGCCUGGAGAAAGAUCCUGUAUGGAAAACUCGAAAUCCCAGACCGCGUGAAGCGAGCGCACAAAUCUCGCCGCCCAUGAAAUCGAAUUAACUCCGCGGCGCCUGACUUUGCGUCCCGCCGUUUUUUUACACGAGACAUCGUCCCCGCAUUCUCCGUCUUCGUUUUCGUUUCCUCGCCCGUCGUGUAUACGGCGGGCUGUACGUCGGAAUUUUUAACUGAAAAACGAAACACGUCGGCGAAGCGAUCACGUUCGGUCGUUUCGGAUCGCGUCACAUUCUGGACGAUCGCGACGAGAUUGGACUCGGCGAUCGUAAAGAUCGCGACAGAUUGGACUCUUUUUGAGAUAACAACGUCGAAGCGUUGAAGUAAAUUUCUUAUAUAUUUUUGUUUUACAUUUUACCGCAAGAAUGUCAAUUAAAGUAAUAGAGCAAACGCAACGCAUCUCGCUGAUUCGUCCGUAACAAAGCAAUUUUUCUGGAUGACCGAGUUAACGCGUAAAAAAAAAAAAAAAAAAAACAAUCUAGCGGGUAUUCUAGCCGCGAGCAUUUUUCAGAAACGGCGCGGUUAGAAAACCGACAGGCGUGGCAUAGCAUGAGGAACGUAAGUAUUUAAUGCCAAGUCGCUGUCCGCAUUCUCGGUUGACAAGACUCCGUAGCUCUCACCGCUCUCCGAGGCGGUCGCGCGCUGUUGAAACUAAAGCGCGCGGUCUCCUCGCACAUAUAAUGCACGUCGUGGUACACGGAGGUGUAUCUAACAAAUAAGGCACUUGUUAGUCGCUCUCCGAGACUAGCUACUCGGAGCAGCGAUCCCGCGGGACGAGUUUUGCGCCGCAACCCUUUUGCCCAUAAUCGGCGGCACAAUACCUGUCUCCGGAGGAGACUGCCCCGAAGCUACGAACGUUUCUUGCAAGUACAUCGCCAUAAUCGGCAACCGAAUCUUUCAGAGUAUCUCUGUUCUUAAUCACCGGCGCGCAAUUUCAGUUCCAAACUCGAACAGAUCGUUUUUCUCAAGGAGAACGGCUGUGAACCGAAGAAGUUGUGGAAGUUACUUCUGAAAAAAAAUCAGAACGCACAGGCGUGUGAUUUUAAAUUUAAAUAAAUAUAUUAGACGCUUGUAUACUGUUUUUUUUUUUUUUUUUUAAUAAUCAAUGUACACAGUUGUACUUCUCCUUUCUUGAAUAAAUUAAAAAAGGUAUGUGUUGCGAAAAUUUUAUCACCUCGCGAUCACAGAAGUCCCCACUUCGUCUGUCAGUUCACUCGGUGACAUUUUCCUUUCGAUACAUUGACAGUAAAAAUUAUCAAACAAAUGUUAAAGAAAAAAAUUAUUUUAGCGAAUAAUUUCUAUUACAUUAUUCAACUUCAUAAAAUUGUGAUUAUAUUAUCUGAUCAAUGUCUUAGAGAAAAACUUGAGUUUAUAGACUGAAUCUAUACAUAAGGAAGUGUAUGGCAAUUUGAACGAACAAAGCGGCAUGGAGACACGUGCGCCUGUCGAAUGUAACCACGUAAGUGGCCGCCGCGAAAGGAAAAUUGUAUUAGCAGAGAUUCAAAUCCGUGAUUCCGAUAUUCGCUAAGAGCGAUUUGAAUCUUUGCUAAGUCUUCGUGGUUCCGAUUUGCGCCGAUAAGAU